AGGCCGACGAGCCCCAACGCGGCCUUUCCAGUAAUCCGCUGCGCUGCAAGGGGGAGUCCCGGGCACGGCUGCUCGGGGGACGGGCGAGUCGGAACCGCCUCAUCUGCACUCGCGGUGGGGGAGAGGAAGGCGCAGAAACCAGCCUGAGCCAGACACCGCCCUCCCCACAUCGCCUCGGCCUCUCGAAUCCUCCUCCCAGCAGCUCGGAGCUCGGCUGCGUGCCUCAAGGCCCAGCCUCGCCUUCAAAACUUUGAAGAGGGGUCUGGAGGAAAUUAACCUGAUUCACAGCUUUGGGAAGGAAACAGAAGAGAUGAGAGAUCGUGGUUGACCGUGGGUAACUGAAACCACAGAAAAGGAAACCGUGGAUAAGAGGGACUAGUAUAUAUUCAUGUAUUUGCCUUGUGUCUCCCAUCGGGGUCACUGGCCUUGUGAUGUUUUUGAAGACCACUUUAACUCUUCUUCCCAGAUACCAUGGGUAUUUGGAGAUGAAAUAAAUAUAGACAAUCUGGUUGGUAGAGUUUCCUUCGUGUGUGGAUAAAGAAGCUGAGGCUCAGAGAGAUUAAAGAACCUGCUGAAGAUCAUAAAGCUUGUUCAGCAGUUAAAUCAGGAUUGCACACCAGGCUUGUCUGACCACAGAGCCUUUAGCCCUUUACAGUACACUCCCCACUGCUUCUCUGCAAGAAAAACAGCAUACCUUACAUUGAAGGUGAACUGCAAAUUCAACAAGUAUGCUCCCAAAUAUUUAAAAACUGUUUUGAGGAGGGGAAUCCUUCUUCUAGUCGUUACAUGUAUUUGAAUACGAUUACAUACGUCCACACAUAUAGACGCUGGGGGCCCUCAUUACCGUCGUGCCUCUGGUCUUAUCUAUGAAAAACAUAAGAGCAACACAAUGGAACAGCUUCGAUUCUCCUUGUUACAAAUUAUACAAAAGCCAGAGCCUAACGGUGCCAAAAGCAACUGGUAUUGUUUACAUAAAGGCUGAAAGCUAAUAGUUAACUUUCUCCCAUUCCAGAAAAAGUAAAUAACGCCUCAUUUUACAACUACAAAGGAGUAAAAUGUCAUAAAAUAGAGAAGAAAACAUUAAAUCAAAAAGGAAAUAGAAAA